AAAUUGAAGAGUUUGAUCAUGGCUCAGAUUGAACGCUGGCGGCAGGCCUAACACAUGCAAGUCGAGCGGAAACGAGUUAUCUGAACCUUCGGGGAACGAUAACGGCGUCGAGCGGCGGACGGGUGAGUAAUGCCUAGGAAAUUGCCCUGAUGUGGGGGAUAACCAUUGGAAACGAUGGCUAAUACCGCAUAAUACCU
rnacentral:rRNA from 1 species